UUUGUGACAAGAUAGCACCUGCUAUGGCUUCACAAUUUGAUGCUCCCUACUCUAUUCCUCUGAUUGCACCACGUCCACUCCUCCUCCUAAAUGAUAAAACCAAGCAUAUUUCUUAUUGAGUGCUUCUGUUUCGUCCAAUAGUUAUUGCAUGACCCAACAUAUUCAAAAGUCUCUCACUUCUCUUUUAUGAGUUCAAUGAGCACUUGUCAGGGCUGGGCUUCCAAUCUUCAGUAUAUAUUUUUGUUUUAUGAUUUUAUGGUUGACCCAGAACUGUUGUUAACCCUUUGUUUAAAAAUUAAUGUUAAUUGAGCAUUUUUCUUGCUGCUGGAGCUUCAUUUAUCAAUUACCAUGCAGGUGCUGACGACCCUCGUUGCCCAGCCCUUGGUCUACAAGAACCUGCCUCCAAAGCUGCUGAGGCUUAUGCAGAAGCUGGUUCUAUGGAUAAGUUCAAGGAUCCAAAGAACUAGCUCGACUGGACUCUAGACACGGACAAUUUAGUCUUGGCACUUAAUUGGGAUGGCUAAAUUACAUUUGAGUUUCAUUUGAUGGAUAUUUGCUAUCAGAAUUAUGAAUUUUAUGAAUCUACAUAUUAUAUGUAUGGUUUUGAAUAUUGUAAUUGAAUGCCUGUAUUUUUU